GUCUAAGAUAGCUUGACCGAUUGAGCCCUUGGCUAGUAAUCAAAUAGUCCGGGUUCGAGUCCCGGUCAGUACG
rnacentral:tRNA from 1 species